rnacentral:misc_RNA from 1 species
UGGCCCGCGCCGCCAUGC